UACGUAGGGUGCGAGCGUUGUCCGGAAUUAUUGGGCGUAAAGAGCUCGUAGGCCGGUGUGUCACGUCGGCCGUGAAAACCUGCAGCUUAACUGUGGGCGUGCGGUCGAUACGGGCAGGCUAGGAGUUCGGUAGGGGAGACUGGAAUUCCUGGUGUAGCGGUGAAAUGCGCAGACUAUCAGGAAGAACACCCGUGGCGAAGGCGGCUCCUCUGGGACGGUACUGACGCUGAGACGCGAAAGCGUGGGGAGCGAACAGGAU
rnacentral:rRNA from 1 species